ensembl:lncRNA
GGGGGAGCGAGGGUGUCCCCGGCCGGAAAGGCGUGAAGGGCCAGAAGGGAGAGCCAGGGCCGCCAGGCCUGGACCAGCCGUGCCCUGUGGUGGUCGGAGAGCCCCAUGACAAAAGAGCCCAAAGGACAGAGAGGAGGGCACCACAGAGGCCGGCCGGCCGCAGCUGGGGGCAGUGCGGCCCGGUUCCAGCCUCACCCUCACCCUGCCUGGGCAGCUCCCUGCCAGCCUCUGUCUCUGCACAGGACCGCCCCCGAUGCGGAGGCAAGCAGGGCCCACCCGGGUCCUGGGGCCCAGCGAGGGGCAGCGGGCCCUGCCCUGUGGUAGGCGGUGUGGCCUGCUGUGUGCUGUGUCCCCCUGGGCCCUGGGCCUGCUGUGUCUGUAGCUCUGCCCCUCCCUCCCUGCCCCUGCUGCCAGUCCGUUCUGCCCUCUGCCCCUUCCCUUUCCUGCCCAGCUGGCCCCUGCUGUGCACCCAGGAGGCUCCCAUGCCGUGUGUCUGUGGCUGUGCCUGGCUUCGUAACACAGUGGAGUGGUUUCCACCCUGGCCUCUCCCAGGGACUCUGCAUUGUGUCCCCGCCAGCUCCCCGGCCGUGGGCACCGCUAUGCCCCGACAGUCCCCUCCCCAGGCCAGUGUCCACCCUGCGCACCCGAGCCCACCCUGCCUGCCAUGUGGAUCCCGCCACAGGCCAGGGCUGCAGCAGGCACCGCCUCCGAGGUCUGCUUCAGAUGGUCUUGGGGACAUUCCUGCCCACGGCCAGAGCCACCGUCACAGGGCCAGGGCUGGGCCCUCCUGGCAGGCAAAUGUGUCCUCCUGCCUCUGCCACGCACAGGGACAAGAUGGGCUGCCCGUGCCUGGCUGCUGGCAUAAGUGACCCUCCAGCCCAGCGCACAACCUGUACAGAUCCGUGUGAACCUUUUUAAUUCUUGUAAAAACAAAACAGUAAUAUAUUGAUCUUUCGUGGAACGCACCACUGUGGCCUGUAAACCUGGCCGGUGCCACCCAGCCCAGCGGGCAGCACGGGCAGCAUGCAGGACGGGGUGCACUUGUGGCACUGUGGGGCUCUGCUUGCCCAGGAAGGAGACGACGGUGACCGCACCUGCUCGGUUGGGUUUCCGGUCACCGGAUUAGCAGACUUGGCCCCCGCUGCCUUGCAAGAGCUGUCCCCAAAGCCAGGAGUCCCAGGACACACCGGAUCCAGCCAGACCCCCUUGGCCUGCUGCUCUGGCCUCUCCAGCCUCCAGACUUCGCCACAGCUGGCCGCCUGGACCCUGGCUCACCCAGGCAGGACACAACUCUGCCGGGUACUUGGCACUGGACCAGGGAGGCUCUGCAGAAAGCACCAGUGCUGGUCUGGCUCCCUCUGGAAACUGGGAGCAGGGCCCAAGACAGAGCCCGCUGUGGGGUGGUGGUCGCCGGGCAUCGGACAGAGAGCCCCAGGCUGCGCUGGCUACUUCACGUCCUCACAUCUCUCGGAGAGGGAUGGGGCACUGGGCUGCCUGAGGAGACGUCCCCCACCCAGGGCUGUGGGUCAGCCUGGCAGCACGGGGCCGCCAGUGAGGGGUGCAGUGGGGCGAGUGCAAGGCUGUCCGGCUCCUCUCCCCAUGUGUAACAGGUGUGCUCAGGUAAUAAACGCCACCGUGUGUGCUACGCCUGUCCUUGUGGGUGGCCCUGGCCACCUCAGGCACUGAGCGCUGGAGAGACAGGGACCCUCUUGUGUCAGAGCCACGCCAGAACCAGAGGAGGAAGCACGGGACUGGGGCCCAGACGGGGCAGUUAGGAAGACAGCUCCACACCUGGGCCUGCCACAGUCCGCAGAGACCUUUGGCCUGUUGCUCCAGGUCACUGAGCUGCUCUUGGCCUCCUGCACUCUGGUUGCCAGUGAAUGCUGCGUGCAGAUCACCCCAAAGCUUGCGACCUUAAAAUAUGGCCAAGGGUGAUGGUUCGCACCUAUAAUUCCAGGACUCAGGAGGCUGAGGCAGGAGGAUCCACACGAGUUCGAGGGCAGCCUGGGCUACAGAGUGAGUUAAGUUCAGCCUGAACUGCAUAGAGAGACCCUGUCUCAAAAAGUAAAACAUUUCGGGGCGGGGGCGAAUGGACUCAGGCGGGUAGUUCUCACUCAGUCUCCCACAGCUGGUGGCCGAUGGUGCCCGUCCACUAGGAGCAGGACAGCCAGAACACCCCUUGGGUUCUUCCUCACUUCGUGGUGGCUGGAUUCUGAGGGUAAACAAAUCAGGUGGGUCCGGGGAAGCUGUCAGCGGUGACCAAGCCUGCAAAGUCGUAUGGGUCCCUUCCUGACAGUCAGAGGUUCGGCCCAACCCGAGGAGGAGGCAGAUGCCCCUCUCGAAGCACAUUUGGGGAGAAAAGGCAUAGAAAAGCUGCUCGACCAGCCCAGGGGCCACCAGAGGAGCCGGAACGGGGAAAAGCAAGGAGCCACAGGCGGGCUGAGCCAGCAGGAGAAAUGGCCCCAGUGCACGCCUCCUACGCGGCCCAUUCCGGUUCGCUCGUGGCCUCCCCGCCCCUCGGGAAGCCCCCACCCCCCUCGAAGCUCCGCGGGGACCGAGGCUCGGGGCGGGCACCCGGAUGGGGCGGCAGCGAGGGCCUGCAGCCUGGCAAAGGCUGGGCUCUGGCCUGUCCUUUCGAAUCGUUUGGCAGGGGGGUGACCGGGUCUGGCAGGCAGAUCUUGGAGGGGUCGAAGCCUCGCGCGCUCCUCCGCCUCAGGUUCCACUUGGCCCGUUGUGCCCCCUCGUGGCUGCAGACCAACCUGCAGCGCCAGGGCGGUUGGUCGGAUGAGGCUGUGGGAGAUGUCCCAGGGCCCAGGGGGAUAACCUCCCUGCCCGCAGCUGAGCUUCAAGGGCGGGGGCGCUGGGCCCCUCACUACCCUUCCGAAGGGAGAGCGGCACAUUUACCGCGUCUUGCUGUGUGCUGUGACAUCUAAACUAAUGGCCAGGACCACAGUCCCCCCCUUUUUCAGUACUGAGAUUGCACCCAGGGCCUUCACACUGGGCUGCAUUCCCACCCCUUUAAAAUUUUUUUUUAAAAUUUUGGGAUAGAGUCCCGGUAAGUUGCCCAAGCAAGGCUCAACCUUUUGAUCCUCCUGCCUCGGCCUCCCAGAUUGCUGAGUUACAGGCCUGUGCCACCACACCCAGCGCAUGCUGCCCUUUCACAGGAGCCUGAGGCCGGAAAGGUCAGCUCACUCAGGCUCCUUCCCCUAUCCCUAAGACACUGCAGGAAGCACAGGGGUGCUCUAGGUUGUCUUAGUGACGAGGUCACGCCGGGCGUCCUGUGGGCAGGGCCAGGGAGGCAGCCCAGGAGAAACGCCAGGAGAAACGCCCCGCUCGGCCCAGCGGCGCCUCGCCCUCCCCCGCAGGGGGCUGCGGUGCUGCCACCAGGCCGGGUGGGAGUUUAGGCGCAGCAGCCCUGGAGGUGCGGCCCAGCGGGCACUGCCGGGCGAGAAGCCGGCGCGCUGAGCAGACCCCGGCCCGUCACACGCACAGAGGUACACGCAGCCGCUCCCCCAGGGUCGUGUAAAACGUUGGCUCAGCUGAUACUACAGAUCACGAGACCCACUCCAUUUGGAAAGACGCAAAAAUCCUGCGGCCGGUCGCACGCCAAUGGGAUGUACUUGACGCCACAGAACCGUGCCUUUGCGAUGGUUAGCGCUCCAUGCUGUGUAUAUUUUACCACAAUAAAGAACGCGAGGCUCUGAGAAUGCGCCUUAAGUGCCUUAAGCGUGUUCGCCUGGGGAGAAGCCGCGCCCAGAGGGUGGCUCCGCUCCCGCGCCAAGCAGAACCCCGCUCCGAGCCCCGGGCCUGGGGCGCCCUUGCUCUCCGUCCGCACGGCACGGGUCUCGGUGUCUCUGGACCUAGCAGGAGCCGGGUGCCCUGAAGGUCCGGCCCGGCUCGCCUCGUCGGCCCGCGCCCUCCGCCCUGCGUGCUGCUCCAGCCGGAGCCCGAGCUCUUCCUGUCAGGCCGGCGCCAGGCGGCGCUUCCCGCUCAGCGUCACGGGCGAGCCCGAGUCAUCCGGGCCGGGGCA